rnacentral:lncRNA from 1 species
UCCUUGUUUACACUAGCUUCACCAUUCAAAAGGGACUCUUCAAGAGGGCCAAGUUUAGUCAUAUUGCUAACAGAACAUCCAACAUAACAAAGAAAGAGACCUGUAAUAGAGGAACCUUUAUCAGAAACUACUCCCUCCGUUCCUUUUUAUUUGUCGUUUGAGAAAGAAAAAAAAAGGAAAAAUUAAGAAAAAUUAGGAAAAUGUUUUUUUGCACCGUAUCUUCCUAUUAUACCCUUAUUUUAUUUUAUGUUUUGGAAUUUAUUUUUUUUGGUACAUAUUUUUUGGAAUAUAUUACGCUGGAUCAUAACAAACCAUUUUUCACAAAACUAAAUCAUCGGAUACAUAGCACAAGCAGCAAAGCAAUCCCCUUUAAAAGAUUCAAAAAAGAAAAUCCCUACAAAAAAAAAAGAUUAUAAGAAGGGUAUAAUAGACAAAAUAUAGCCUUAAAUUCUCAAAACAACAAAUAAUUUGGAACAAAUUUUUUUUUCUAAAACGACAAAUAAAAAGGAACGGAGGGAGUAAAUUUUUUUGGAUAGGAAAUAGUUUUCAUGUUAGUUGUUCGUAUUGUUUUCUUUGGCCAGAUUUUGAACCCGAGUCUUUUAAUUCGUUCAAAUCCUUUAACCCCUAGUUUAAACUAGUUGAGCUACCCAACCCCUAUCCGAAACAACAUGUUUGGCAAAAAACAUACUUUCCAUAGAUUACAAAGUCAGUAACAAGGCAACAUGAAUACACAAAAGCAUAGACCAAGCACAAAAUUCUCAAGAAACAUGGGAAACUCAGUUUCUAUACACAAUUUAAAUAAACACAUACAUAGUAACUAUUUUAGUAGCCAAGCCAAAUCCUAAAUUGUGAUAAGCUCCUUUGAACCAUCAUGCUCAUACCAUGAAAGGUUGUUUAGUAAGCACAAUACAAGGUUAGACACACAAAUAUUGAAGCUAAUUAGAAGUGUGUAUUGUUUAGAGUGGUAAGUGACAUGGAUACCUUUAACAAGUCAUUAGAAGUUUGAAUCCUAGCUUUUAUGUAUGGUAAAAUCCAUAUAGGAGAAUCCACCUUGUGUGUUCAACCGCUGAAAAAUAUUAAUCAAUGAUAAACUACGUAAAUAAUUCGGACAUAUAAAUUGGGUCAAAAAAUAAAUAAUAGUUUGAGUUUGUAGUACCAGAUUAUGGAAUUAAUUUCUUUCACUCUUUUCUAUUUGGUCUAAAAAAACUUAGUCCCAUACAUACCCAUGACACAACCAGCAGGUGAAGUGAAGAAUAUAUCCUACGUGUGAAAAUGGGUUGAACCAGUUGCGGUGGAAUAAUAAUGAGAGAAGAGUAAGAGCUUACCUAAAUAAAGAAACCAGUUCUGCAGUAAUGGUUGACUUGUUGACUUUACUGUAAAGCAAGAGUUCUGAUCUAGUAUAAGUGGGGUUUUGGUAUAGAUAUGUGGAAUUCUGUUCUGUGGUCACAAUUAAGUAGUGUGACGCAUGUUGAUGAUGUUGAUUUCAAAGCAGGACUUUUCUCACAGCAUCACAUCUCCACCUAACAACUUGUAUAGUGCUAUAUUUAAUUUAACUUUAUUAGACCUUCCUUUUACAUGUAAACCAGCUUUACUAAACAUAAUUAAUUCUUUACUACCUUUC